UCCGUAGGUGGAUAAUUAAGUCAGAGGUGAAAUCCUGCAGCUCAACUGUAGAAUUGCCUUUGAUACUGGUUAUCUUGAGUCAUUAUGAAGUGGUUAGAAUGUGUAGUGUAGCGGUGAAAUGCAUAGAUAUUACACAGAAUACCGAUUGCGAAGGCAGAUCACUAAUAAUGUACUGACACUGAGGGACGAAAGCGUGGGGAGCGAACAGGAUUAGAUACCUUGGUAGUCC
rnacentral:rRNA from 1 species